rnacentral:rRNA from 1 species
UACAGAGGUCCCGAGCGUUGUUCGGAUUCACUGGGCGUAAAGGGUGCGUAGGCGGUUGGGUAAGUCUGAUGUGAAAUCCCGGAGCUCAACUCCGGAACUGCAUUGGAAACUAUCCGGCUAGAGGGUUGGAGGGGGGACUGGAAUUCUCGGUGUAGCAGUGAAAUGCGUAGAUAUCGAGAGGAACACCAGUGGCGAAGGCGAGUCCCUGGACAACACCUGACGCUGAGGCACGAAAGCUAGGGGAGCAAACAGG